rnacentral:rRNA from 1 species
AACGAACGCUGGCGGCAUGCCUAACACAUGCAAGUCGAACGAGAUCUUCGGGUCUAGUGGCGCACGGGUGCGUAACGCGUGGGAAUCUGCCCUUUGGUUCGGAAUAACAGUUGGAAACGACUGCUAAUACCGGAUGAUGACGAAAGUCCAAAUACUUAUCGCCAGAGGAUGAGCCUGCGUAGGAUUAGCUAGUUGGUGUGGUAAAGGCGCACCAAGGCGACGAUCCUUAGCUGGUCUGAGAGGAUGAUCAGCCACACUGGGACUGAGACACGGCCCAGACUCCUACGGGAGGCAGCAGUGGGGAAUAUUGGACAAUGGGCGAAAGCCUGAUCCAGCAAAGCCGCGUGAGUGAUGAAGGCCUUAGGGUUGUAAAGCUCUUUUACCCGGGAUGAUAAUGACAGUACCGGGAGAAUAAGCUCCGGCUAACUCCGUGCCAGCCGCCGCGGUAA